UACGAACGCUGGCGGCGUGCUUAACACAUGCAAGUCGAGCGGUAAGGCCCUUUCGGGGGUACACGAGCGGCGAACGGGUGAGUAACACGUGGGUGACCUGCCCUCAGCUCUGGGAUAAGCCUGGGAAACUGGGUCUAAUACUGGAUAUGACUCCACGGUGCAUGUCGUGGGGUGGAAAGCCUUGUGCGGCUGAGGAUGGGCCCGCGGCCUAUCAGCUUGUUGGUGGGGGAUGGCCUACCAAGGCGACGACGGGUAGCCGGCCUGAGAGGGCGACCGGCCACACUGGGACUGAGACACGGCCCAGACUCCUACGGGAGGCAGCAGUGGGGAAUCUUGCGCAAUGGGCGAAAGCCUGACGCAGCGACGCCGCGUGAGGGAUGACGGCCU
rnacentral:rRNA from 1 species